UGAUUCAGAUAUGAGAUUCAUCCGAGAUUGAUAAACUUUUAGUAGUUUCAUCUCGAGGGGAAGCGUUAAAGAAUUUCACAUUUUAUAUAAUAAGUGAAACUUCUAGAAGAUUAUUUUUCCACUCAAAUUAAGAUUGAUGAUUCUUCUUAAGGUAAACCAAUAGCCUUAUCAACUCGAGGUGGAUAUUUAGAGAAUCCGACAUCCCUAGUAAGUGAAACAUCCUGAAGUAUGUUCACACUGGAAAUAGACUUGAGGAGUCAUUUAUAAAAAAUAACCAGGGGAUUUAGAAUCUAAUAAUGUUGAGACAAUAAAUAAAGGGAAAUGUUGAAUACCUUCAAUCAGAAGUAUCACCAAGGCACUAUUGUAUUGUACAAUACAAUGAUUAGAAAAUGGAGAUAAAUGUAAAAGUAAACCAUAAGUUUACCGAAAGUGUAAUGUUUGCAGAUCGGUUAUGCCAUCCCGGUUUAGUAAUAAUGCGAAAGAUAAUCAUAUGAACAUUCGUUAAGAACCAUGAAAUUCUUAAGGAUGAUAUUUUAUAUGCUGCUUGCUUACAAAGCAA
rnacentral:lncRNA from 1 species